rnacentral:rRNA from 1 species
CAGCCGCCGCGGUAAUACAGAGGGUGCGAGCGUUAAUCGGAUUUACUGGGCGUAAAGCGUGCGUAGGCGGCUAAUUGAGUCGGAUGUGAAAUCCCCGAGCUUAACUUGGGAAUUGCAUUCGAUACUGGUUAGCUAGAGUGUGGGAGAGGAUGGUAGAAUUCCAGGCGUAGCGGUGAAAUGCGUAGAGAUCUGGAGGAAUACCGAUGGCGAAGGCAGCCAUCUGGCCUAACACUGACGCUGAGGUACGAAAGCAUGGGGAGCAAACAGGAUUAGAUACCCGUGUAGUCCCUGUCUCUUAUAC